rnacentral:rRNA from 1 species
AAUAGAUACCCAGGUAGUCCCAGCCGUAAACGAUGUGCGUUAGGUGUAUCAACGACCACGAGUCGUUGAGGUGCCGAAGGGAAACCGUGAAACGUACCGCCUGGGAAGUACGGUCGCAAGGCUGAAACUUAAAGGAAUUGGCGGGGGAGCACCACAACAGGUGGAGCCUGCGGUUUAAUUGGACUCAACGCCGGGAAGCUCACCGGAUAAGACAGCGGAAUGAUUGCCGGGCUGAAGACUCUGCAUGACUAGCUGAGAGGAGGUGCAUGGCCGUCGUCAGUUCGUACUGUGAAGCAUCCUGUUAAGUCAGGCAACGAGCGAGACCCACGCCAACAGUUGCCAGCAUGAUCUCCGGAUUGAUGGGGACACUGUUGGGACCGCCUCUGCUAAAGAGGAGGAAGGAAUGGGCAACGGUAGGUCAGCAUGCCCCGAAUUAUCCGGGCUACACGCGGGCUACAAUGGGCAGGACAAUGGGUAUCGACGCCGAAAGGCGAAGGCAAUUCCUAACCUGUCCGUAGUUCGAUUGCGGCUGUAC